rnacentral:other from 1 species
GGAGUCCUGAAGUGUACGUUCUUUAACCUAUAAGUUUUGACCGAACACUUAUAGUUUCGGGAGCACAGGUUUCUGCUCUACGCAAAUGCCUCCUUGAAGAGGACUUGCAAACGACCAGAACAGCGCACCCACCUGCUGCGAGCGGGUUCAAAACAAAGGCGUAAACGGCACAAACGGGGCUCUU